rnacentral:rRNA from 1 species
UACGUAGGUGGCAAGCGUUGUCCGGAUUUACUGGGCGUAAAGAGCGCGCAGGCGGCUGGUCAAGUCCGAUGUGAAAGCUCCCGGCUUAACUGGGAAACGGCAUCGGAAACUGAUCGGCUUGAAGGUGGGAGAGGGUAGUGGAAUUCCCGGUGUAGUGGUGGAAAUGCGUAGAUAUCGGGAGGAAUACCAGUGGCGAAGGCGGCCUGCUGGGGCCACGACCGACACUGAGGUGCGAAAGCGUGGGGAGGCGAACCGGG